UGUAAUUGUAGACAAAACCUGUCAAUUGUGCAAUUGGCUUAGUUCAGUAAAAUCUACAGAUCAGUCAUGAAGCUGGAAGGAAUUUAUGGACAUAAAGUACUAAUUUCAAUCACCAGGGCACAGGUGGUAUUUACAUGUGGGGGAUUUAGGCAGCAGGGGUGAAAAGAAAAGCAGAGUCUAACAACUGGUAACAAUCCUGUUUCAUAUCCAGUUUUGAUCUGUUUGGCUACCCUGAAUCUUCAGUGAAAAGUCGAAUAUGCUUAAUUUAAGUAGUUUCUGAAUGAUGAAGGAAUAUAGGGCUGACUCUGUUCUGCAAAUUUCUUGGCUGGUUGUAUCCCCAAGGAAAAUGUUCAAAAAUAAAGAACUCUGAGCAAAGCAAGUUGUCCUAGCACAAAAGCAGUUUAUUAUACAUCCUCAAAGCUUGGUGCAGAUUUGGAUUAGGAACAGAAUGAACCCCUCCUCUACUGUUGGAGUACUUCUGUGAGCCCUAUGUUUCAGAGAUGAUAUAAAGCAAUGAUAAAGUUUAUAUUUUGUCUAAAUGACUAUGCAAACUGUUAAAAAUUUGGUGAUUGGAGACCAGAUCAGUUUUCUGGAGAAGGUGACAAGAUUACCUGUGUGGAAAUCCAGCCUGCUUGGACCAUCUCUUCUCACUACACUGCAGCCACAUCUCUGCAUCCUCAAAAUAGAUACACUUGCAUCUAAUCCCUGUGUUCCAUCUUCCUUGGCUGGAGGAAUGGAGGCAAUUGCCCAGUGUGUUAGGGUCUGAGCACUAAUGUGUUGUGGGCUGUGAGUUACUCAGAGACUAAUUGGAGUCAAUAUAAGAAUUAAGAGGGUCUAGCUCAGGAAGUGUCUGUAAAUGCGCUAGCUUUGAAACAUGAUCAGACUUGAAAGGCAAUAGUGAUGAGAGAAAUAACUAAUUUACUCACUGAAGGCCAGAAAGGGGGAGCAAAACAUGAAAAGUAGCAGUGGUAGCUAUAGGAGGUACUUUAUCUUAUAUUCUUAGAGAAAAGCCCUACAGAGCUGUUGGUAUGUUAAGUUCAAGCCAGUAAUUUAUUUAUUUUUUUAUAUUUUUUUUCCUUUUAAACUCUGAGCUGAACUGCAAAGCCAUGAGAAAUCUUCAUUCAUAAGCAGUGGGUUGGGGCCUAAGAGCUCAGGGCCUGGCUGGCUGUACUUCUUUUUCCCUUCUCAGCAGGCAAGUAUCAGCAACCAUAUUCACUGAAUGACAGUUUGGCACAAAUUAUGGUUAUUUACAGUGUGAUCUUUACUUCGAACAACUUGUGCAUGCCAUGAAAAGUACUCGCAUUUCUCAAACAUUUUUCCUAAAUUGUAAGUGUGUAGUCACAUUGAGUGCAUAUUUCGUAUUUGAGAACUGAUUAUGCACAUGAAUUGUUUGGCAAAUGUUAUCUGAAUAAUGAACAGUUGAGAAACCGAGUGUUCACUGACAAUACCCACAAAUGGAACAAAGGUAGAAUUCAUAAGCUUUGUUAUUCAUUGUUCAACCAGCUGUAAUAAAUUUUCUUUCCUUCUCUUGAG